rnacentral:rRNA from 1 species
AGUAAAAGUCGUAACAAGGUUUCCUUCUUUGAAGCCUUUUGCACCCGACUAUAACCACGUGCAGAGUCCACCUUAAGGGUGGGCGACGUCACCUAUCUGCUGGGAUCCACUUCCGUGGGGACCAGCAGCCAGAUAUGACUCUGUUAUACUUGGUCUACAGAUUAGGCGGUGGCGGUCAGCAUCAUGUCUCUCAAUAGGCAAGUUCUGAUCAAGAUAUAAUCGGUCGCUAUUGUUGGUGUAAAUAGUUGAGAAACGUUCCGUAGGUGAACCUGCGGAAGGAUCAUUAUUGAGUUAGGGUCCUCUGGGCCCCAUCUCCAACCCUUGUCUAUAUUACCAUGUUGCUUUGGCGGGCCCGUCUUUAACCGGACCGCCGGGGACGCGUUCCCUGGCCUGUGCCCGUCAGUAGCCCGUACAAACUCUUUGAACAGUGAUGUCUAAGUACAAAUAUAAUAAUUAAAACUUUCAACAACGGAUCUCUUGGUUCUGGCAUCGAUGAAGAACGCAGCGAAAUGCGAUAAGUAAUGCGAAUUGCAGAAUUCCGUGAGUCAUCGAAUCUUUGAACGCACAUUGCGCCCUUUGGUAUUCCGAAGGGCAUGCCUGUUCGAGCGUCAUUAUCAACCCUCAAGCCCGGCUUGCUGUUGGGUCUUACCGCUAGCGAUGACGGCGGACCCCAAAGAUAAUGGCAGAGUUCCGUGGACCCUGGAUGCAGCGAGCUCCUCAGCACGCGUCUCGGCGGUUCCCGGGCUCGGUCUUAACCAAUGUAUUUGUCAGGUUGACCUCGGAUCAGGUAGGGAUACCCGCUGAACUUAAG